rnacentral:sRNA from 1 species
GCCGGGCGCGGUGGCGCACACCUGUAAUCCCAGUAGCUUGGGAAGCUGAGGCAGGAGGAUUGUGAGUUUAAAGCCAGCCUCAGCAACUGCAAGGAGCUAAGCAACUCCAUAGGACCCUGUCUCUA